GACGAACGCUGGCGGCGUGCUUAACACAUGCAAGUCGAACGGAAAGGCCCUGCUUUUGUGGGGUGCUCGAGUGGCGAACGGGUGAGUAACACGUGAGUAACCUGCCCUUGACUUUGGGAUAACUUCAGGAAACUGGGGCUAAUACCGGAUAGGAGCUCCUGCUGCAUGGUGGGGGUUGGAAAGUUUCGGCGGUUGGGGAUGGACUCGCGGCUUAUCAGCUUGUUGGUGGGGUAGUGGCUUACCAAGGCUUUGACGGGUAGCCGGCCUGGGAGGGUGACCGGCCACAUGGGGACUGAGAGACGGCCCAGACGCCUACGGGAGGCAGCAGUGGGGAAUAUUGCACAAUGGGCGGAAGCCUGAUGCGGCAACGCCGCGUGCGGGAUGACGGCCUUCGGGUUGUAAACCGCUUUCGCCUGUGACGAAGCGUGAGUGACGGUAAUGGGUAAAGAAGCACCGGCUAACUACGUG
rnacentral:rRNA from 1 species